AAAGCUGGGGCAGAAAAUCGUAGCCAAGUGUGGGGGACUUCCACUGGCGAUCCAGAGAAUAGGAGUCUUACUGGGAUCAUCAUUUCAUAUUGAUAAUUGGAAUGAAAGCUGGAUAAACUNNNNNNNNNNACAUCACAAAAGAAAAUAAAGUAACGACUUCUCUGCAUCUAAGCUACAAGGCACUCCCGCCCUAUCUGAGGCAAUGCCUCUUGUGUUUCUGUAUUUACCCUGAAGAAAUACAAGCUGAAAAGUUAAUCCAUUGGUG
rnacentral:misc_RNA from 1 species